GCAUCAAGAUGAACGCUGGCGGCGUGCUUAACACAUGCAAGUCGAACGAUGAUCCCAGCUUGCUGGGGGAUUAGUGGCGAACGGGUGAGUAACACGUAAGUAACCUGCCCUUAACUCUGGGAUAAGCCUGGGAAACUGGGUCUAAUACCGGAUAUGACUCCUCAUCGCAUGGUGGGGGGUGGAAAGCUUUUUGUGGUUUUGGAUGGACUCGCGGCCUAUCAGCUUGUUGGUGAGGUAAUGGCUUACCAAGGCGACGACGGGUAGCCGGCCUGAGAGGGUGACCGGCCACACUGGGACUGAGACACGGCCCAGACUCCUACGGGAGGCAGCAGUGGGGAAUAUUGCACAAUGGGCGCAAGCCUGAUGCAGCGACGCCGCGUGAGGGAUGACGGCCUUCGGGUUGUAAACCUCUUUCAGUAGGGAAGAAGCGAAAGUGACGGUACCUGCAGAAGAAGCGCCGGCUAACUACGUGCCAGCAGCCGCGGUAAUACGUAGGGCGCAAGCGUUAUCCGGAAUUAUUGGGCGUAAAGAGCUCGUAGGCGGUUUGUCGCGUCUGCCGUGAAAGUCCGGGGCUCAACUCCGGAUCUGCGGUGGGUACGGGCAGACUAGAGUGAUGUAGGGGAGACUGGAAUUCCUGGUGUAGCGGUGAAAUGCGCAGAUAUCAGGAGGAACACCGAUGGCGAAGGCAGGUCUCUGGGCAUUAACUGACGCUGAGGAGCGAAAGCAUGGGGGGCGAACAGGAUUAGAUACCCUGGUAGUCCAUGCCGUAAACGUUGGG
rnacentral:rRNA from 1 species